GACGAACCGUGCGAACGUUGUUCGGAAUCACUGGGCUUAAAGGGCGCGUAGGCGGCCGUCAAAGUCAGGGGUGAAAUCCCGCAGCUUAACUGCGGAAGUGCCUUUGAUACUGGACGGCUCGAGGGAGAUAGGGGUCUGUGGAACGGGUGGUGGAGCGGUGAAAUGCGUUGAUAUCACUCGGAACGCCGGUGGCGAAAGCGACGGACUGGAUCUCUACUGACGCUGAGGCGCGAAAGCCAGGGGAGCAAACGGG
rnacentral:rRNA from 1 species